rnacentral:misc_RNA from 1 species
AUGCCGUCUACAUGACUGCUGGGUGCAGGGUCAUCAGGAUGCUCACCUUUACCGUCCUUGUGCUUGCUACGCUCGCCCUGCUUUGCCAUCACCGAAAACGUGCGUACGCUAGGAACACGGUCGGCUUCUUGCACGCUGCAGCAGGGGCAGGUGGUGGUGGCGAACGUGUGUUGUGGGUCGCCUUGGACGGACUGCAGCACGCCGAUGCAGCCAAAGGCGUGAAGCGGCAGUAUGUAGUAUUUACAAACGAAUACAAGCCAGAAGACAGGUUGUCGGCCGAGUCGUCCGAUCAGCACCUCCUUUCCCUCGUCGAAAAACAGUUCAGCAUCCGCCUUCUUCGGCCUGUGCGCUUUAUCUACUUGCGCCCCGCCGUGACCCGGUGGCUGAGCGGCGACGCCUACCCACGUCUCACGUUGCUCUUGCAAACCUUCUGGGGCGGUGCGGCCCUCUUUUAUGAGGUGGCGAUCGCAAAUGCGGUGACGCCGAUCGUGUUGGAGACGGUUGGCGUGCCAUUUGUUUAUCCUCUGCUACGGCUUCUUGCUGGGUGCACGGUGAUCUCCUACACGCAUUACCCCAUCGUCUCCUCCGCCAUGACGCAGCGUGUGCGCAUCGGGGAGGUGAGCCACACCAACGCACCGACCGUGGCACGGAAUCCGAUGCUGCGUUGCGCCAAGGUUGUCUAUUACGAAGUUUUCUCGCUCCUGUAUCGCUGCAUGGGCUUUUUCCCUAAUGUGGUUCUGACAAACUCGUCAUGGACGCAGAACCACGCGCAAUCUAUUUUUUGGCCACGCACGUGCAUUCGGCUGUACCCGCCGUGUGACGUUGCUGGCUUUGCCGCGGAGUCUCAGCCACCUGCGCUGCGCAACAACCGCAUUGUCAGUGUCGGCCAGUUCCGACCAGAGAAGAACCACAUGCUUCAGCUUGUAGCUUUUCAUGCAGCAAUGCCGCGGCUGCCGAUGGAUGCCAAGCUCGUCAUGAUCGGCGGCGUACGCAACGCGGAUGACCGGAAACGUGUUGAGCAGCUGCACGCGCGCGCAAAGGAACUCGGAAUCGAAAAGCAGGUCGAGGUACUCAUGAAUGCGACAGUGGCGGAGGUGCGGGCUGAACUGGGAAAGUGCGUCAUUGGGCUUCACACCAUGCGUGACGAGCACUUCGGCAUUGUGCUGCUGGAGUAUCUCGCUGCUGGCUGCAUCCCUCUUGGACACCGGAGCGGUGGUGUCGAACUUGACAUUGUCAACUCUCCCGAUUUGGGCUUUCUCGCCGUUACGGCGGAAGAGUACGCAGCCGCCAUGGUCGAAAUCUGUGAAAUGCGGCUGCGCGAUCCAGAGCGGUACGUUCAGUUCCAGAAACGCGGCAGCGAGCAUGUCAAGUCAUUCGACGACAGCAGCUUUCGAACCCGUUUUGUUGAACUGGUCAGCGAGUAUGUCUACGCCUGCUAGCGAGCCCGUAUGCGGAUUUUUUUUUUGAUAUCUGUUGCACGCUCAGCACGGGCGAUGCCCACUCUGUUCGACAGGGAAUGGAAACUGACGCAAAGAAGCGUAUGCAUGCGUCGCUUGGGCGUUAACGCCGCUCCCAAUUCACUACUGCAAAACAUUAAAAGAUCGCUGGACAAUACCCUAAAACUGCGCCCCGCAGUGCACGGUAUCUGCUAUGCUCGUGCAUAGCAUCGCUACUGGUUCCGCGCACCUUUCCUGCAUGUCAGAUUGGAGACAUCCCCCUCCCCCUCACAGACUGCGCGGCGCUGUGCACUGUGAGGGUGAAUGCCGUGUGUCUCCAUGUUCCGUGAUGUCUGCGUUUCCGGGCCGCUCUCUCACCAUCGCGGCCAGGAAAACAUGUUUGUCCGCCUUCCCUCCCCGACUCCUUUGCACCCUUUUCUCUCGCUGGAGCGGCUGCUCGGCCCGCACACUCACAAAAG